rnacentral:rRNA from 1 species
UACGUAGGUGGCAAGCGUUGUCCGGAUUUACUGGGCGUAAAGGGCGUGCAGGCGGUCUGCUAAGUCUAGGGUGAAAGCUCCCGGCUCAACUGGGAGAGGUCCUUGGAUACUGGCGGACUUGAGGGAGGUAGAGGGAGAGUGGAAUUCCCGGUGUAGUGGUGAUAUGCGUAGAUAUCGGGAGGAACACCAGUGGCGAAGGCGGCUCUCUGGGCCUUCCUGACGCUGAGACGCGAAAGCGUGGGGAGCGAACCGG